AACGAACGCUGGCGGCAGGCUUAACACAUGCAAGUCGAACGCCCCGCAAGGGGAGUGGCAGACGGGUGAGUAACGCGUGGGAAUCUACCCAGUUCUACGGAAUAACCCAGGGAAACUUGGACUAAUACCGUAUACGCCCUACGGGGGAAAGAUUUAUCGGAAUUGGAUGAGCCCGCGUUGGAUUAGCUAGUUGGUGGGGUAAUGGCCUACCAAGGCGACGAUCCAUAGCUGGUCUGAGAGGAUGAUCAGCCACACUGGGACUGAGACACGGCCCAGACUCCUACGGGAGGCAGCAGUGGGGAAUAUUGGACAAUGGGCGCAAGCCUGAUCCAGCCAUGCCGCGUGAGUGAUGAAGGCCUUAGGGUUGUAAAGCUCUUUCAGUGGGGAAGAUAAUGACGGUACCCACAGAAGAAGCCCCGGCUAACUUCGUGCCAGCAGCCGCCGUAACAC
rnacentral:rRNA from 1 species